rnacentral:rRNA from 1 species
UUCAACCGCUGGCGGCGUGCCUAACACAUGCACAAGUCGAACGAGACGGCGAAGCGGGGGCAACCCUGUGAGUAAAGUGGCGACCGGGUGAAGUAACACGUGACUAACCUACCCUGAAAUGGGGGAUAAUACCUCGGGAAACCGGGGCUAAUACCGCAUAACGUCCACGGCUGGAAUGCUGUGGUCCAAAGGAGCAUCCGUUGCAGGAGGGGGUGCGGUCGCGUGCCGAUUAGCUAGUUGGUGGGGGUAACGGCCCACCAAGGCGAUGAUCGGUAGCCGGCCUGAGAGGGCGGCACGGCGCCACACUGGAACUGAAACACGGUCCAGACUCCUACGGGAUGGGCAGCAGUGGGGAAUUUUGCGCAAUGGGGGAAACCCUGACGCAGCAACGCCGCGUGGAGGAUGAAGUCCCUUGGGACGUAAACUCCUUUCGAUCGGGACGAAUAAUGACGGUACCGGAAGAAGGAAGCCCCGGCUAAUUCCGUGCCAGCAAGCCGCUCUGGUAAUACGGGGGGGCGGGCAAGCGUUGUUCGGAAUUAUUGGGCCGUUAAAGGGCGCGUAGGCGGGUGCGGGUAAGUCACCUGUGAAAUCUCUGGGCUUAACUCAGAGUCUGCAGCGAAACUGCCGGUGCUGGAUGUACCUGGAGAGGUGAGUUGGAAUUCCCGGUUGUAGCGGUGAAAUGCGUAGAUAUCGGGAGGAACCCCUGUGGCGGAAAGCGGCUCACUGGACAGUAACUGACGCUGUAUGCGCGAAGCUAGGGGAGCAAACAGGGAGUUAGAUACCCUUGGUAGUCCGUAGCCCCUAAACGAUGGAUGCUUGUUGUAGCGGGUACCCAAUCCGCUGUGCCGGAGCUAACGACGUUAAGCAUCCCGGCCUGGGGAGUAAGGUGCAUACGGUCGCAAGGCUGAAACUCAAAGGAAUUGACGGGGGGGCGCAGCACACAAGCGGUGGAUGCAUGUGGUUCAAUUCGACGCCAACGCGAAGAACCUUACCUGGGCUCGAGCGCAGUGAGAUCGGGAUGGAGAACGUCCCUUCCCCGCAAGGUGGGUGCUGCUGCGUAGGUGGCUGCAUGGCUGUCGUCAGCUCGUGUCGGGAGAUGUUGGGUUAAGUCCCGCACACGAGCGCAACCCCUCGUUCUUAGUUGCCAGCCUUAAGUGGGGCACGUCUAGGGUAGACUGCCCGGUGACAAAACCGGAGGAAGGAGGUGGGGGAUGACGUCAAGUCAGCAUGCCCCUUACGUCCUGGGCUACACACGUACUACAAUGCAGACGGACAAAGGGCAGCAAGCAAGCGCGAGUGGCAAGCUAAUCCCAUAAACCGUGGCUCAGUUCUAGAUCGCAGGCUGCAAACUCGCCUGCGUGGUUGAAGGAGGAAUCGCUAGUAAUCGCCGGUCAGCAUACGGCUGGUGAAUCCGUUCCCGGGCCUUGAUACCACACCGCCCGUCACACCAUGGGAAGCUGGUUUGGCCGCGAAGAUCGUUACCCCUAACCCGCAAGGGAAGGGGACGCCGAAGGCCGGGCUAGUGACUGGGGUG